UACGGGGGGGGCAAGCGUUGUUCGGAAUUACUGGGCGUAAAGGGCUCGUAGGCGGCCAACUAAGUCAGACGUGAAAUCCCUCGGCUUAACCGGGGAACUGCAUCUGAUACUGGAUGGCUUGAGUUUGGGAGAGGGAUGCGGAAUUCCAGGUGUAGCGGUGAAAUGCGUAGAGAUGUGGAGGAACACCAGUGGCGAAGGCGGCUCUCUGGUCUGUAACUGACGCUGAGGCGCGAAAGCGUGGGGAGCGAACAGG
rnacentral:rRNA from 1 species